rnacentral:misc_RNA from 1 species
GGAACCGCCGUUGACUACUGUUAACACUGUUUUAUCUGUUUUGGCUUAUGAUUAUCCGACGGAGAAACUUUCGGUUUAUGUAUCCGAUGACGGAGGAUCGAAGCUUAUUUUGUUUGCUUUAAUGGAAGCGGCGGGAUUUGCUCGGAGUUGGGUGCCUUAUUGCCGGGAAAAUAAAAUCGAGCAGAGAUGCCCGGAGGAGUAUUUCCGGCGAAAUCAUACUAUAACUUGUCAAUUUCAGAUUAUUGAGAAUUUGUACAUGGACAUGAAGAUGAGGAUAGAGAAUAUUGUUGAGAGAGGUGAGGUUGUUGAUGAGUGUAUUAUUGACCCACAACAACGUCAAGCUUUUAGCAAAUGGACCAAAGGAUUCACUCCCAAAGAUCAUCCUGCUAUAAUCCAGGUAUUAUUGGAAAGUGACAAAGAUAAAGACAUCAAAGGUUACUCAAUUCCAAAUCUCAUUUAUGUAUCUAGAGA